UGGGGAAUCUUGCGCAAUGGGGGAAACCCUGACGCAGCGACGCCGCGUGCGGGAUGAAGGCCUUCGGGUUGUAAACCGCUUUUGAUUGGGAGCAAGCUUUCGGGUGAGUGUACCUUUCGAAUAAGCGCCGGCUAACUACGUGCCAGCAGCCGCGGUAAUACGUAGGGCGCAAGCGUUAUCCGGAAUUAUUGGGCGUAAAGAGCUUGUAGGCGGUUCGUCGCGUCUGGUGUGAAAGCCCAUCGCUUAACGGUGGGUUUGCGCCGGGUACGGGCGGGCUAGAGUGCAGUAGGGGAGACUGGAAUUCCCGGUGUAACGGUGGAAUGUGUAGAUAUCGGGAAGAACACCAAUGGCGAAGGCAGGUCUCUGGGCUGUUACUGACGCUGAGAAGCGAAAGCGUGGGGAGCGAACAGG
rnacentral:rRNA from 1 species